UCUUCCCUUUCUCACACCCCCCACAAAGAACUUAUUGUUUGAACCAAGUUGGUUUUAUACUUAGAAUUUUGAUGCUAACAAAAGUAUUUUAUGAGAACAAUACAUUGGACUUCGCAUAGUUCGAAAGAAUAUUCAUGUUUUUGAAGACAAUCUAAAAUAAUAUUUGAUUCAGAUUCAUAAUUCAAGAAAAUCUUUGACCAAAUUGAAAAGAAGAUAUGGUCAAGAUUUGAUGAAAAUAUGAUCAACAUCUUAUCUACAAGAAGAUUUUGUCAAUAUUUAUCACUUGAAGACAUGAAUUAUUUACAAGAAGAUUUAACCAAGAUUUAUCUUGAAGAAGAUAUGAAUUAGCUACAAGAAGAUUUGAUCAAGAUUUAUCACAAGAAGAUCUAAAUUAUUUUCAAGAAGAUAUGAUCAAUAAUUGUUUACAAGAAGAAACACUCACAAGAAGAUACAUUUAUUAUUUUGCAAAUAUAUUGAAUUGGAGUUAGUCAUAUUCCUACUUGUUAAAGUUUAAGAACCGGUUAAACACGUUCCCGCCCAUAUCAAAGCAAGCCUUAGGAAGGAAGUUUCAUUUGAAGAAUUUGCGAUAGGAAUCUCAAUAAAAUACAAACAUUAUCACUCUGAAGGAUUUACAAACUCAAUCUGAACAAUAUAUAAACCAUAUCAAUAUGAUGAAUUUACAAACUCAAUCUGAACAAAAUACGAACAUAAUCAAUCUAGAAGAACUGCUCAAAUUGGAUUCAGAAAUAAAGAAUUGGCUAAAAAUAAUAUUAUCAAAAAACAUCUUGUUUAGAAUUAUUUUUGAAUAUGAUCAUUGUUGACCAAGCUAGCAAUGAAGAUGUUGGAACCAAGUUGAUUUUAUACUUAGAGUUUUGAUGAUAACAAAAUUAUUUUAUGAGAAUAAUAUAUUUCACUUCACAUAGUAUGAAAGAAGAUUUGUGUUUGUGAAGAAAAUGUAAAAUAAAAUUUGAUUCAAAUUUCUAAUUGAAUAAAAUCUAAAAUAAUAUUUCAUACAAAUUUAUAAUUUAAGAAAAUCUAAAAUAAGAUUUGAUUCUGAUUUAUAAUUGAAGAAAAUAUUUGACCAAUUGAAACGAAAAUAUGGUCAUGAUUUGAAGAAGACUUGAUAAGAUUUAUCUACCACAAAAUAUGAACAUAAUCAAUCUGAAGAACUUACAAACUCGAUUUGAACAAAAUAUGAAUAUAAUCAAUCUAAAGAAUUUAUAAACUCAGUUUGAAUAAAAUACGAACAUAAUCAAUCAAGAAGAACUGCUCAUAUUGGAUUUAGAAAUAAAUAAUUGGCUAAAGAACACAUGAUAAAAAAACAUCUUGUUCAAAAUUAUUUUUGGUAUAAUUCAUAAUUAAACGAGGACUAAAUUAAAGCUCUUAUUUUAGCUAUAAAUAGAUACUCAUGACUAAAGAAGAAGAUAAUUGAAAAUCAGAAAAGAGUAGAAUGACUUGAGUUCAAAUUCCAAAUUCAUCUUAGAGUUCAAAGAGAGAAGCACUUGUUCAAGUUAGAAAUAUUUUCUAAGUAUUUUUUCUUAGAGUAUGAGAUGAUGAUGAUGAUGAUGAUGAUGAUGAUGAUGAUGAUGAUGAUGAUGAUGAUGAUGAUUAUUAUUAUUAUUAUUAUUAUUAUUAUUAUUAUUAUUAUUUAGGGUUUAGGGUAUUAUUUAAGUUGAUGUUUAUUGAGUAUUAUUUAAGUUAAGAGACAAUAGCUAUGAUAUUAUAUUCAAUCAAAAAAUAUGCAAGACAAUUAGUUAAAAGGAUGGAUCUGUAGUCCUUACAAGUUAUAGGAAAAACAACAUUUAUAAGAUAAAUUUAUUUAGUCUAGAGAAAGAAGAGGUCAAUUGUCUUAUGUCAGUAAAUGAAGAGAAACUAAUUUGGCAUAAAAGAUUAGGUCAUGCAAACCUUAGAUUAAUUUCAAAACUGAAUAAACAUCAACUAGUUUGAGGUCUACCUAAGCUUAAUUACAAAAUUGAACUUAUAUGUGAAGCUUAUCAAAAGGGAAAACAAACAAAGAACUCAUUUACCCCUAAGAACUCAGUCUCUACCUCAAAGCCCCUUGAGAUUUUACAUAUAGAUCUCUUUGAACCAAUGAAAAUAGCCUUUUUAAGUGGAAAGAAAUAUGAUUUUGUUAUAGUAAAUGAAUCCCACAAAGUGUUUAUCACAUUUUGCAAAAAUAUAAUGAAGGAAAAGGUUCUUAAGAUUGUAACAAUUAGAAGUGAUCAUGGAGGAGAAUUUGAAAACAAGUUCUUUGAAAGUUUUUGUGAUGAGAAAAGAAUCUCCCACAACUUCUCCUCUCCUAGAAGACCCCAACAAAAUGGAGUUAUAGAAAGAAAUAAUAGAUUACCCCCAAGAAAUGGCUAGAACCAUGUUAAAUUUGAUGACAUACAACUUGAUCUUGAAAAGUCAAAGCAAGAUGAUGAUAAUGCAUGUUUACCGGAACCAAAGGAAGUAGAUGUAGAAAAACCAGAAGAACCUAAAAAAUCAGAGGAUACAAUUAAAUCAAAAGUAGAUGACAAAUCUUCAGAGGAUGAAUUUGAUCAAGUCAAAAAUAAUCAAGAUAAGUCAAAAGGAAGAUAUGGAUGGAAGUACAAGUCAUCUCAUCCUAAAACUCUAAUAAUUGGAAGUGCAACUAAUCUUUUGAGGACCAGGUCAUCACUAAAGGAUACCACUUUGUUUGGCUUACUAUUAUUAAUUGAGCCUACCUCUGAUGAUGAAGAAUUAACAAAUGAUGGAUAGAUUCUUGCAAUGCAAAAAGAGUUAAAUGAAUUCAAGAGAAAUGAUAUUUGGGAUCUAGUACCUAGAGCAAAGAAGAACGAACAAUAUUGCAACCAAAUGGGUUUUCGGAAACAAGCUAAACGAAGAAGGUGAAAUGGUUAGAAACAAGGGAACACUUGUCGCACAAGGCUACAAUCAAUAAGAGGACAUCGAUUAAGCUGAGACUUUUGCUCCACUGGCUAGGUUAAAAGCAAUUUGUAUCCUACUUUCUUUGGCCGCACAUAAUAAGAUUACUUUAUUUCAAAUGGAUGUUAAAAGUGCUUUUCUAAAUGGUUAUAAAAGUGAAGAAGUCUAUGUUAAACAUUCCCAAGUUUAUAGAGUUCUGAAUUUCCAAAUCAUAUUUUUAAACUUAUGAAAUCUUUGUAUGGUCUAAAACAAGCACCAAGGGCAUGAAAUGACAGACUUAGUAUCUUCUUGCUUAAAAAUGACUUUGAAAGAGGACAAAUGGAUAACACACUUUUUAAAAAAAUCAAUAGGAGAUGACAUUCUUAUUAUUCAAAUUUAUGUUGAUGACAUUAUUUUUGGAUCUACUAAUGGCACUCUUUGCCAAUAAUUUUCUAAAUUGAUGCAACUUGAAUUUCAAAUGAGUAUGAUGGGGGAACUUAAAUUCUUCUUAGGAAUACAAAUUCAAUGAAGUAAAAAAGGUAUAUACAUUCAUCAAACUAAAUAUACAAAAGAGCUUUUCAAGUAGACUUGAUGAGUGAUUGCAAACCUAUGACUACACCAAUGCAUCCUACUUGUUCACUUGAAAAAUAUUAAUCAGGCCAAAAAAGUUGACCAGAAAAACUAUAGUGGAAUGAUAGGAUCCCUACUUUACCUUACUACUUCAAGACCUAACAUCAUGUUUUGUGUAUGUCUAUGUGCAAGAUUCCAAGCUGACCCUAGGGAAUCACAUUUAACUAUUGUGAAGAGAAUCCUUAGAUACCUAAUAUACACUACCCACAAAUGGAAAAACUACACAUUUCUAGGUGACAACUUAAUCUCUUGGUCAAUUAAGAGACAAAACACAAUUUUCAUGUCAACAUCAGAAGCUAAGUAUAUUUCAACAGUUGUUUAUAGCUCUCAACUACUUUGGAUGAAACAUCAACUAGAAGACCACAAAAUCCUAGAAACCAACAUUAUCAUUUAUUAUGACAAUACUUCUACCAUUUUCCUAACAAAAAACUUUAUACUUCAUUCUAUAGCUAAACACACAGAAAUCAAACACAAUUUCUUAGGGAAUUUGUUCAAAAAGAUGAGCUUAAUAUUCAGUUUGUAGAUAUCAUACAUCAAUGGGCUGACAUAUUCACCAAACCACUAGCUGAUGAUAGGUUUGACUUCAUCAAGAAAAACCUAAACCUCAUUCUUUUACCUAACUGAUGUUGUGCCAACGUUAGAGUAGUUUAAUUUCAUACUUAGGAUAAAAUUUAUAUUUUAUGUUUAUGUUAUUUUCAUUAUAUUAAAAAAAAGGGCAAAUUAAAAAUAAAAAAAGGCAAGUUUCACAUUCAAGUCUUUUUGUCUGAUGACAAAUAGGGGAAAAGAUGUUUGAUAAUGUGGGGAGAAAAAAUAUUUAGACUUAGAGGGAGCUUUAAGUAAAGAGGAGUCAAUGUAUUUAAAAGAAAAGUUGUUAUAAAAAAUAUAAUUUGUCUUCAUAAAAAAUUAGGAGAUUGUUGGAGUCAAGUUUGUUUUAUACUUAGAGUUUUAAUGUUAACAAAAGUAUUUUAUGAGAACAAUAUAUUUGACUUCACAUAGUAUGAAAGAAGAUUAAUAUUUUUUAAGAUAAUCUAAAAUAAGAUUUGAUUCAGAUUUAUAAUUGAAGAAAAUAUUUGACCAAGUUGAAAAGAAGAUAAGUCAAGAAUUGAAGAAGAUAUGACAAACAUCUUAUCUACAAGAUGAUAUGAAUUAUUUAAAAGAAAAUUUGAUCAAUAUUUAUCACAAGAUUAUAUGAAUUAUUUGCAAAAAGAUUUGAUCAAUAUUUAUCUCUAGAAGAUAUGAAUUAUUUAUAAGAAGAUUUGAUUGAGAUUUAUUUACAAGAAGAUAUGAAUUAUUUACAAGAAAAUUUGAUCAAGAUUUAUUACAAGAAGAUAUGAAUUAUUUACAAAAACAUAUGAAUUAUUUCGAAGAAGAUAUGAUCAAGAAUUGUUUCAUGAAGUAACACUCACAAGAAGAGAUAUUUAUUAUUUGCAAAUAUAUGAUUCAGAUUUUGACAAAGGAUAAAAUAAUGAAUUGGACUUAGUCAUAUUCCUACUUGUGAAAGUUCAAGAACCGGUCUGAUACUAUGAUCCCACCUUGAUCAAAACAAGCAAUAGGAUGGAAGUUUUAUUUGAAGAAUUUGCGAAAGCAAUCUUAACAAAAUACAAACAAUAUCAAUCUGAAGAAUUUACAACCUCAAUCUGAACAAAAUAUGAACAAUAUCAAACUAAAGAAUUUACAAACACAAUUUGAAAAAAAUACAAACAAAAACAAUAUGAAGAAUUUAUAAUACUCAAUAUAAACAAAAUACGGACAUAAUCAAUCUCGUAGAACUACUCAAAUUGGAUUCAUAAAUAAAGAAUUGGCUAAAGAACAUAUUACCAAAAAGCAAUUUGUUCAAAAUUAUUUUUGAAUAAGCUCAUUAAUGACAAACUUAUGAGUGAAGAUACAACUCAGAAUUAAACAAGAACUAAAUUGAAGUCCUAAUUUUAUCAAUAAAUAGACACUUAUAGGUGAAGAAGAAGAUCAUAAAAAAAAUCAGAAAAGAGUAGAAGAACUCAAGUUCAAAACUCCAAAUUCAUGUUAUAGUUCAAAGAGAGAAACACUUGUUUGAAUAAGAAAUAUUUUAAAGGGUUGUUCUUAGAGUGUGAUAUUUAUUGUUAUAAUAAUCUUGUCAGAAGCAACUACUUAAGUUCCAAACCUUUGUAUUCAAACGCGAUAGUUGUAAGACCCAUAAUUUUAAAGUAUACUUUAUGUAUUUUUGUGUAUUUUGGAUAUUGGCUCGGAGGCUUUUUAGCCAAAGUUUUAAUAUUUUGGAGUUUAUAUGACCAAAAAGAUAUUUGAUGCCGAUUAAAAUUAUUCGUCGAUAAAUAAAUUCAAUUAAGUGCGGUGAAUCCUUUACAGAGAAUUUAAUGUGUUACGGGUGAAAUGGUAAUUUAACAAAUAUCUAGAUAUUUUGAGAUAUUUGUUAAAAGUAAUUAAUAUAUAUAUAUCUAUAUGUAUAUAUUUGUUUGGAGAGAAAAGAAAAGGAAGUAGAAAGGAAAGAAGGAAAAAGAAAGAAGAGAAAAGCAAAGGAAAGAAAGAAAACAUUUCCAUCUCCUUCCUCUCCCUGCCUUGCAUGAACCUCCCUCUCUUCUCCUCCAUUUUCGUUUUUCUUUGCUUCCUUUAAGUUCGAGAAUUGAAACCCAAGGCUAGUGGGUGAGAAAGAUCAAGUUCUCAACUCCUUCCUCCUUCUCGGNNNNNNNNNNNNNNNNNNNNNNNNNNNNNNNNNNNNNNNNNNNNNNNNNNNNGAAGAAAAACGAUAUUAGGGAUUUCAAAAUCGUAAAACACAAACCUCACUGUUUCAUCUAGAUCUAAGCUUCGUUUCGUGAAGAGAUAGAAGGGAAAGUUGCUCACUACCACGCUACGGUGCUCGGGAACCAACUUUGGAGGCGACGUUGCGAGCGGAGAUUUUUACCGGAUUUACUCGCGGUACCGUAAUCGAACGUUAAAGCUAACGUGAAGGUAAGGGCUCCUUCCAAACUUUUAGUUUGCAUUUAGGGACUUAUCUGUGGUUGUGUGGAAAGGAAUUUGUUAGGGUUGAAGUGUUGAUUUGGGGUAAAAUGAAUCUAAGGCUUUAUGGGUAAAAUCUUAGAGUUAGGUUUUGGUUAUAUUGAUGAAUGUUUCGUGGAAAAUGAAUUUAAACUCAUUUAUGUAUGAUUUUGAGUAAAUGAAACUUGUUGUGUUUGAGUGGUAGAUUGUGUUGAUUUGUGUUCGUCGUAUUUGACGUGUUCUUAAUUAAUACUGAUGAAAUUCGUUGUGGGUAUGGUUGGAUUCUGUGGAAAAAUGAAUUAAUGUGUUUUGGUAUGAGUUGUGGAUUGGAUCUGAUAAUAGGUUGAGUUGUUUUGUGUGGAAUUUGAAAACCAUUAGAGUUAAACGAGUACUAAGAAUGGGGAAUCUCUUAAUGUCUACGCUUACUUAAUGUUGGCGUGAAAACCAUUAGAGUUAAACGAGUAUUAAAAAUGAGGAAUCUUUUAAUAUCUCGGUUUACUUAAUGCUGUUUUGGAAAAUCGUUUAAGUUAAAUGAGUAUUAAGAAUGGGGAAUCUCUUAAUGUCUUGUUUACUUAAUGUUGUUUUGGAAAAUCGUUUAAGUUAAAUGAGUAUUAAGAAUGGGGAAUCUCUUAAUGUCUUGUUUACUUAAUGUGUGUUUGUGAAAAUCGUUCGAUUGUUGUGGAUGGAGUCAGUGUAUGCUCAUGCAUUUCAUUUUGGUAAAUCGUGCUGACCCGUGAUAGGUGGCACCUCGGUAAACAGUACUGACCCGUGAUAGGUGGUACGUUUACGAUUUACGUUUUUUUGGUAAAUUGUGCGGACCCGUGAUAGGUGGCACCUUGGUAAAUAGUACAUUGGCCUGUGAUAGGCGGUACAUUUACGAUUUACAAUUUUUCUUUUAGUAAAUCAUGCUGACCCGUGAUAGGUGGCACCUCGGUAAACAGUACUGACCCGUGAUAGGUGGUACGUUUAUGAUUUAUGUUUUUUAGUAAAUCGUGCUGACCCGUGAUAGGUGGCACCUCGGUAAUUGGUACUUUGGCCUGCGAUAGGCGGUACAAUUAUGAUUUACGGCCCUUCGAGGAGGGUUUUGGUUUGGAAUUCCGAGUCCAUGCAUUUUGGCAUAUACGCAUCGCAUUAGGGUGCUUGGCACACGAGUCGUGUUUGAAUCAAGUAUAUGAUUGAGUGGUUUGAAUUGGAAUUGUUGUGGUAAUUGUGUUGGAAUUGCUAAGUGUUAUGUAUUGACUAUCGUGUGUGAGUGCUCCAAUUAUAAAUCCAAACCAUUUACCCAACAACAAAUGGUACAUGUAACCCAUCGAAAAUAACAUGUCAAGCUGACAAUAUUAGUAUAGGUACAGUCUUCCGUUUUAAAAUAAAUGCAAUACAAAAGAAAGACAUCUGAUCCCUCUAUGUCAACCUAAUCUGAUCAUUUUACAACACCACUAAACACCCUGACUGAUCUCCACGCGCCCCGUGAGAUCCCCCUAUCGUAGCUGCAGUCAAGCGUUCCCAUCUCCAUUUCCGUCCGUAGGGUACGAACCGGUAGGAUCGUCCUGACUCUCAUCUGAGGGCAAAGCCCAGAUUUCCACAAUAAUUGUAAAGGUCACCAACCGAAAAUAACAGUUAACACAUAACAUUUAAGUUUUAAAUGCUAAAAAUAACUUUUCAACUAAGCAUGCACCUUAGCAGGAUUUUCAAUAUGCGAAAAGUUCAUACAAUACUUUGCCAGUUAAAAUGAAAGAAAAAUGAGGUUCUCAAUCCCCUAAUUAUAACAUAACAAAUCAAGACACGGAUAGUUUCAUGAGCAAACAAUCAUACAACUAGAACUGAGGAUUUUCACCGAGCCAAUCGAUUAGGCAAUCAAUUGGGGUGAAGGAUUUUGAUGAAGACAGAAUCUUGGGCUUUAUUCAAUCGAUUGGGAAAUCGAUUGAGUGAGUACUGAGCCCUAGAUUUUCAAGCCAAUCGAUUUCCAAAUCAAUUUGGUCGAAUAUGGAUGAGUCCCUGACUUAAGGCCAAUCGAUUGCCAAAUCGAUUUCUUAAAUGAUUUCGAAAAACUGAUUACAAAAUCGAUUGGCCAAUCGAUUUUGUUACUUUAGCUAGGUCCCUGUUAACCUAUCAAAUCGAUUGGGAAAUCGAUUUCCCUGUAUAUUCUUUCAAGAAUUCAUAAACUAACUCAAUCACAUUCAUGCAUAAUCCCAAUUCUUAACACUUAACACUGAUAACACAAUUACUACGACAUCAUGGAUUUUGAAAUGGUAUUGCAAUCAAACAUGUUAUCACCAAAUUCCAAAACAUAACACUUAGCAUUUAUAACACUUUACUACACAAACCAAAAUGAACCAACAGUUCACAAAUUAACAGGGUGUAGUCUCUCACGGACAAACACAUGUGCAGUCUCUUACGGACAAACACAAUUCCUUCAGGAACGUAAGUCGUAAACGUACUACCUAUCACGGGUCCGUACCGUUUACCGAGGUGCCACCUAUCCCGGGUCUGCACAACUUACCAAACGUAAAUCGUAAACGUACUGCCUAUCACGGGCCCGUACCGUUUACCAAGGUGCCACCUAUCACGGGUCUGCACGAUUUACCAAAACACACAUAAGUAAACGAGACAUUAAGAGAUUCCCCAUUCUUAAUUCUCAUCUAACUUAAACCAGGGCGUAGUCUCUCACGGACAAACCCCUGCGCAGUCUCUCACGGACAAACGCAAUUCCCGCAGGAACGUAAGUCGUAAACGUACUACCUAUCACGGGUCCGUACUGUUUACCGAGGUGCCACCUAUCCCGGGUCUGCACAACUUACCAAACACAAUUCCCUCAGGAACGUAAGUCGUAAAAGUACUACCUAUCACGGGUCCGUACUGUUUACCGAGGUGCCACCUAUCCCGGGUCUGCACAACUUACCGAAACACACAUAAAUAAACGAGACAUUAAGAGAUUCCCCAUUCUUAAUUCUCAUUUAACUUAACGAUUUUCAAGACAAAACAUUCAGUAAAUAAGUCAUUAAGAGAUUCCCCAUUCUUAAUACUCAUUUACUGAAACGAUUUUCAAAAACGAACAUUAAGUAACCGAGACAUUAAGAGAUUCCUCAUUCUCAACACCCAAUUAACUUAAACGAUUUCAAAAACGAACAUUAAGUAACCGAGACAUUAAGAGAUUCCCCAUUCUCAACGCCCAGUUAACUUAAACAAUUUUCAAAACAAAAUAAUAAGUAACCGAGACAUUAAGAGAUUCCCCAUUCUUAACGCCCAGUUAACUUAAACAAUUUUCAAAACAAAAUAAUAAGUAACCGAGACAUUAAGAGAUUCCCCCUCCUUAACGUCCAGUUAACUUAAACGGUUUUCAAAACAAAAUAUUAAGUAACCGAGACAUUAAGAGAUUCCCCAUUCUUAACGCCCAGUUAACUUAAACGAUUUUUCUUUAAAACAAAAUAUUAAGUAACCGAGACAUUAAGAGAUUCCCCAUUCUUAACGCCCAGUUAACUUAAACAGUUUUCAAAACAAAAUGUUAAGUAACCGAGACAUUAAGAGAUUCCCCAUUCUUAACGCCCAAUUAACUUAAACGGUUUUCAAAACAAAAUAUUAAGUAACCGAGACAUUAAGAGAUUCCCCAUUCUUAACGCCCAGUUAACUUAAACGAUUUUUCUUUAAAACAAAAUAUUAAGUAACCGAGACAUUAAGAGAUUCCCCAUUCUUAACGCCCAGUUAACUUAAACGAUUUUCAAAAACAAAUAUUAAGUAACCGAGACAUUAAGAGAUUCCCCAUUCUUAACGCCCAGUUAACUUAAACGAUUUUUCACAAACAAACGCACAUUAAGUAAACGAGACAUUAAGAGAUUCCCCAUUCUUAACGCCCAGUUAACUUAAACGAUUUUCAAAACAAAAUAUUAAGUAACCGAGACAUUAAGAGAUUCCCCAUUCUUAACGCCCAGUUAACUUAAACGAUUUUCAAAACAAAAUAUUAAGUAACCGAGACAUUAAGAGAUUCCCCAUUCUUAACGCCCAGUUAACUUAAACGAUUUUUCACAAACAAACGCACAUUAAGUAAACGAGACAUUAAGAGAUUCCCCAUUCUUAACUAAAAGUUUGGAAGGAGCCCUUACCUUCGCGUUAGCUCUAACGUGCGUUUCCGGUACCGCGAGCAAAUCCGGUAAAAAUCUCCGCUCGCAACGUCGCCUCCAAAUUGGUCCCCUAGCACCGUAGCGUGGUAGUGAGCAACUUUCCCUUCUAUCUCUUCGAGAAAUGAAGCUUGGAUCUAGAAGAAACGGAGGGGUUUGUGUUUGGAUCUCAAAUACCGUUUUUCUUCGUUUUCGAAUCAAAGAGGAAGAGUGGAGUUGCGAAAUCCUUGUCCUAACUCUCACCCAACCUUGGGUUACUAGUUUUGAAGAAAGGAAAGCGACGAAAAUGAAAACGGGAGAAGGAGGGAGAAAUGGCCGCGGUUGGCAGAGGAAGAAGAUGGAAAAUCAGAUUUUCCUUCCUUCCUUUUUCCUUUCUUUGUUUUUCCUUCCUUUCUAUUUCCUUCUUUCCUUUAUAUAACCUUUCCUUUUCCUUUUCCUUUCUCCAAGCAAACAUAUAUAUACUAAAUAUAACUUAACAAAUAUCUCAAAAUGUCUAGAUAUUUGUUAAAUUACCAUUUCACCCGUAAUGCAUUAAAUUCUCCGUAAAGGAUUUACCGCACGUAAUUUAAAUUUAUUUAUCGACGAGUAAAUCUAAACGAGGUCAAAAUAACUUUUUGAUCCUAUACACUCCAUAAUAUUAUUAAUUUUGGUUAAAAAGCCUCCGGGUCAAAAUCCAAAACACAAUAAAUACAUAAAGUGUACUUUAAAAUUAUGGGUCUUACAAUACGCAUCGCAUUAGGGUGCUUGGCACGCGAGUCGUGUUUGAUUGAAGUUUAUGAUUGAGUGUUUUGAAUUUGAGUUGUCGUGGUAAUUGUGUUGAAAUUGCUAAAUGAUAUGAAUUUUUAUUGUGUGUAAGUGUGAUGGAUUGUAGAACUAUUUCGAAACUCAAUUUGUCGUGGUGAUCGUGUGGGAAUUACUAAGUGUUAAGAUGUGAAAUUGUGUAUGAAUGUGAUUGAGUUAGUUUCUGUAUUUUUGGAAGAAUAAGCAGGGAAAUCGAUUUCCCAAUCGAUUUGAUGAGUUGCAGAGACUUCACAAAUUUGACAAAAUCGAUUUGCCAAUCGAUUUCGCAAUAUGUUUUUCAAAACCUUUUAAGAAAUCGAUUUGGAAAUCGAUUGGCAGUAAGACAGGAACUCAGCAAAACUGACAAAAUCGAUUUGAAAAUCGAUUGACAUCAACACAGGGGCUCAAUUAUUCAUUCAAUCGAUUUCCCAAUCGAUUGAAUUAAGCCCAGAGUUCAGUUUUUACAAAAAUCCUUCAUCCAAAUCGAUUUCCCAAUCGAUUGGCCCAGUGAAAAUUCUUAUUUUGAGUUAGAUAACAAAUUGCUCAUUGAUUUAUCAAUGUCUUGGUUAGUUAUGUAUUACUUGAGGGAUUGAGAACCUUAUUUUGAUUUCAUUUUUAUUUGGCAAGUGUUACAUGAACUUUUAGCAUAUGGAAAAUCCUUUUAAGGUGCAUGCUUAGUUGAAAGGUUAUUUUGUGCAUUUAAAAACUUAAAUGUUAUGUGUUAACUGUUAAUUUCGGUUGGUGACCCUUUACAACUAUUGUGGAAAUAUGGGCUUUGCCCUCAGAUGAGAGCCAGGACGAUCCUACCGGUUCGUACCCUACGGAUGGGAAUGUAGAUGGGGAUGCUUGACUGGAGCUAUGUUAGGAGGAUCUCACGGGGCGCGUGGAGAUCACUCAGGGUGUAUAGCUAUAGUUUUUUUUGAAGAAUGAUCAGAUUAGGAUGACAUAGAGGGAACAAAUGUUUUUUUGGAUUACGUUAUUUUGAACUAGAAAUGUGUACCAUUAAUAAUAUUGUCAGUAUGACAUCUUAUUUGAAUGGGUUCCACGUAUUAUUUGUUUUUGUGUAAAUACUUUGGAUUCAUAUUUUGAGAAACUUUUCCGCUGCUUGUAAAUUAUAAUGACUCAAUUAUUUAUCCAAAGGUAUUUCCUUAUGUAAUUCUCUGUUCUAUUUUAAUUUCUUUUGAAAAAAAAAAUACUCUCGCUUUGAAAAUCGGGGUGUUACAAUAGUGGUGUUAGUGUGCCUUCAACAAUCUUGGGGUGUCAGAUUGUGUGUUCGUCAACAGUUUGGGGUUGUCAAGCUGUUUAAGAAGACUGAAUUGGAGGCUAAGCUGCUUUGUAAUUCAAGUUGUUGAAUUAGUAGAUUAAAUCCUUAUAAGGGAAGGGAUAGGAUGUAGCCAAGUUAAUGGUGAACCAGGAUAAAUUACUUGUGUCAAUUUAUUCUUGCACUCCUUAGUUUUGUUAUUGCUUCUACUUUAAGUAAAUAAUCAAGUCUAAACCAGUUUAAUCAAAUAAUGAAAAAGUUAUCAACUUAGUCAAACACAAUUCAACCCCUUUUUCAUGUUUGCACCUUCACAUUUGAUUUUUACUUAAGAUUAACCUCAAAUUUGCAUGUCCUAAUCUUUUGUGCCUUAUUUGUUGUUCCUCGCUUACAGGCCUAAGACACUUGACUUCUAGUUUGUUUAAGUUAGAUAAAUUUAUUUGGUAAAUGUUGUUUUUCCAUAAAUGUUGUUUUUCCCUUGGCCAAUAAGUAGUGUGGAUCAAUCUGUUUAACUUAUUUCCUUAAACGACUUUUGAUUGAAGAUGACAUCGUAACCAAUGUCGCUUAAUUGAAUUAUGCUCAUUAGGUUAUGCAUUAGUCCUUUUACAAGUAAAACAUUCUUAAUAAAAGGAAGAAAAUCAUUACCUAUUUGUGUCGUGCCCAAAUGAUCUUACGCUUCUAAUCACCUCCAAAUUCUCUAAAUCCUUUGUUCUUUAGGGUCAGGUCUUGAAACAUAGUUUUUUCUCCUGUCAUGUGUCAUAAGCAUCCAUUGCCCGAGUACCAUGACUGGUGUUUCAACUUUGUUGCUAAAUAUCUGCAAGAAAAAUUAUUUUAUUCUUAGGUACCCAAAUUUGGUUGGGUCCUAAUUUGUUAUUUCUAAAAGGUAUAUUGUCAUUCCAUGUUAUUUUCUUAUCACCUUUCUUAUGGCAGUAUGCGCAAACAAUAUUAGGCUGAGUAAUCUAGGAUUUUCUUUCGUUUCUUCAAAGCAUAUGCCACGUUUAUUGUUUCUGCUAACACCAUAGAUCAUUGAAGCUUGUUUACUUUUCUCUACGCCAUUUACAAGAAAUUCUUGAAAGGCUAUUUCAUACUUCAAAAAUUGAAGACUUUAUCCUCUAAAUUUUUGAAACAUUUUCUUCCAAAGUUUGAUUUUCCCUUUUAUGGUUUUCAAAAUUCUUUUCAAGGGAAGCAUUUGUUUGUUAAUAUGUCAUUAGAUUUUCUAAGAGAUUUAAGUUUUGAAGAAACAUAAUGAUUAUUGUAAGAGAAUACCUAAAUUUCUUCAUCAACAGAUUCAAAGUCAAAAUCAUAGUGAGUAUAUGCCAUUAGAGCCUUGUUUGCAUGCUUUUCAUCUUCAUCAGAUGAUUCAUCAGAGUCAUCCGAAGUAGCCGUAAGACCUUUCUUUUGUGUCUUGAAGUUUUUCCUCUAGGAUUUUCCUUUCUCAAGUUUAGGACAUUUUGAUUUGAAAUGACUUGGUUCCUUGCAUUCAUAACCGAUGAGGUUUUCUAUGUCUAGCUUCUCACUUCCUUAUCUGUUAUUUUGGGACUGUUUGAAAUCUCUUUAGGGAAAGGAUUUCUUUCUAUUGUUCCCCAUGUGCUGGAUUUUUCUUGAGAUAAAAGACAUAUUUUCAUUAACUAAGUCUUCACUACAAUUUCCCACUUUUUUUCCUCUUAGCCUUCAGUUGCUUGUAGAGCUUAAGAGAUCGUCUUUUUUCCUUGGGAUUUGAGAGCCAAAGACUUUGACUUAUUUUUGGGUUCAUCUUCAACCAAUUCAAUCUUAUUGGGUUUGAGUGAACUCAUCAACUAUUCUAGACGCAAUUUGUUUUAGAUCCUUAACCUCUUGAAUAACUAUUUCGUUUGGUCUCCACUUACUGGGAAGACUUGUGACAAUCUUCUUUAUACGGUUGGUAGUAGCAUAGCUCUUUUAGAGAACCUUCAGCCCAAAAACCAAAGUUUGGAAUCCUGAAAAUAUUUUAUCAAUGUCUUCAUCUACUUCCAUCUAAAAGACUUCAUAUUUUUUUACGAGUAGAUUUUCUUUGUCUUCUUGUAUAAGCUUGGUUCCUUCGAUUAAGAAUCAGGGCAUCAAAGAUACUCUUAGUUGUUUCUUUUUGGCUGCACCUUUCAAACUCUUUGAAGGUGAUAACAUUCAUCAUGAAUGUUCUGGCUUUGUGAUGCAUUUUGUAUUGUUUCUUUUGAUUACCGUCAAAAUUCUUUCUGGAUAUUUCAACACCAGCAGCAUCUUUUGGAUCCUCGCAACCAUUUUUUACUAUGUCCGAGAGUUCAAUACUUGAAUCCUUUUCCAUCAAACAAGGGAGGCAUGUUAACGUUUGCACAUGUAACAUCUUCACCACAGUUAGCCAUAAAAACAAAUCUUUACUCAAACACAAUUAUGUGCUCAACUUUGAGACCAAGCUCUGCUGCCAAUUGUAGAAUGAGAAACACAAGAAAAAGGUGUGUGUGUGUGUGUGUGUGUGUGGGGGGGGGUUGAAUUAUAUUUCCUAUUUAAAAUGUUAUUCGCGUGGAUAAAAUAAAGUAAAGAAAUCAGAGUAGGUAAUUAAAAAUAGAACAGAAAGACACAACCGAUUUAUCCUGGUUCACCACCAACAUGGUAGCUAUGUCUAUCCCGUUCAACCUAAAGGAUUUAAUCCGCCAAUUUACCACAAAGUCAAACUUACACUUGAACACCUACGAGUCACACUAACUAUAUUCAAUCUUAUUAACCCUCUAACCUAGUACAGCCAACCCGUUGAAGAAGGAAGCCAUUACUGGGCUAGGUUACAUAAGAAAAGGUUUGGGGUUUUCUGAAUUGGCUCUCAUAAAGAGUGUUUACAAAUCUGUUCAUUCAGAAAAUUUUUCUCAGCACUAAAGUGAAAAAGAAUGAUUAUGAGCAAGAGUGCAAAUGUACAUAUAGCUCGUGUGUAUGUUUUAUUUCUUUUAUGAAUGCACGUCCUUUUAUAAAAAUCGAUUAGGAUUUCUGAUCGUUGUCUUGAUUGCAAGAAAUCAACAUAAUUAAUGAAGUUUUGUAUCGUAUCUUUUGAGAUUGUUUUCCAUGGAAACUUUCCGAAACAGAUCUUCUAAUUGAUUUAGUGUAUCCUAUUUAAAACAAUUGGGAAGAAGAUUGUACGAUGGUCAAAGAAUGUCUUAAGAUCUUCAGACAGGUAGCAAAUUCAGGAUGUUCAUUAGAGGAUGCACAAAUACUUUGUUUUACUUGGAGUGUUGGCUUUCAUCAAAGUGUGCAACAUAAAUUAGAGUUAGACAAUCAAAUACUUGAAGCAAUCAUUUGAUUAAUAGAGGUAGACGUUCACUUGCUUGUUAAGCUUAUUAGAGGCGGAAAAACACUUGUUUUAGUCAAUCUUAUUAGAGGCAAGCGUACAGAGCAUAGUUGCGUUCAGUAGAGGUAACUGAAACAAAACAUAUGAUGUAUUUCCAGAGUCUCUAGUGAAGUAGCAAUGUUAAUCACAAAAAGAGGGGUUCGAAUAGUGAUUCCCUUUUUAUAAUUAAAUUAUGUAUUGAAAAUAUUUUAACUCAAGAAUUAUCUUGGUUUGAUAAACAAUAAAAGCAUAAAGUUAUUCGUUAGUAAUAUAACAAUAAAAACUUAAUGAAGUGAUCAUUGCUAAUUGAGUGAUAAAUAAAUGGAGAUACAUGAUAGAAAGAUCACACACAAAACAUAUACUAGUUCACCCAACUCGGGCUAGUCUAGUCCUCACAACCGUGAGAUUUUCACUAUGUGUUUCAGAACCAAGAAUGUUCUUCUUCAAACCUUUUCUGUUGAUCACACCUGGAUCAAUUAUAAUCUUCACCUUUCUACCUAGAUUUAUACAAUCACCUUUCAGCCUUGAAAGGAUUUUUACAAACACACUCAAUCUAACAUAAAAGAUAGACUUGAGUUUCAAAUGAUGUGUAUGAUAAAAGUGUUUGGGAUCUUGAAACUUCUCAACACUUGUUUGAGAUAAAUAAAGAAAAACUCAGUAAAUGACGAUCCAAAGAUAUAGUGAAUAGAGUUUGAGUUUGCUUGAAGAGUUUUAGACUUGUUACUACUUGAACAAGUUUUGGUUGAUUUGUAAAUUGAACUCUUGCCUUCAUCUUCUAAUUGAUCUUCAAUUAUAUACGAUAAAAGGCUUUGAAUAUUUAAUUUAAAAUAAAUAUAGUUGUUGGACACACUUCCUAAGUGUUAGAUAUAUUUUAAAGAAAUUAAAAAUGUGUUUAUAUUGAUGUCUAGAACGUUUUUGACAAAUGAAGAACAUUCUUGCUUUUGGGUUUGAUGGAAAGCGUGAAUGAGUGAGUGAAUGAGCUGUGAAAUGUCAGUUUUGUACUAUUUUCAAUCAAAAUUAUGCAGAACUUUAUGCAGAAAAUUGUAAGUACAAUGUACUUGUGUCCUUGCUCACAACUAAUCAAUUAGGAGAUCAAUGUUGAGGCUGUUUUCCUUCUUUGGGCAUUCAACAAAAAAGUUUAUUUCAUAAAGUUUGUUGUCAUUAAAUAAAGACAAAUUCAGUAAAGCAUACAUCAAAAAAGUUAUUACCUCAACAUCCAGAACCAGAGCAUUGCUUGCAUUAUCGGAGUCAACCAUCAUAGAGUGUCGCUCAUGUCACUUGAAGCGCGUGUUAGAGAACUUGCAUUAGACUUAAAAAAAAACAAAGUGAAGCGAAGUCUUGUUGUUCUUUUUCAAUUCACUGAUCUAAGACCUGCACACUUAAUCAAAAUAUUAGUGUAUUAAAUUGUUCCCACAAACUAAUUUUGUUAUCAUCUAAAUAAAUAAUGAGCAUAGUUCUUCAAACCAACGUUGUUCAGACAAUGUCCACAACUCAUAUGGAGAUUGUGAAUAAAUAAUGGAUGGUGUUGCUGCUUUGCAUAUUCAUGCAGAAUAAGAUUUAUGGUGGGCUCUUGAUCUAAUAGGAAAUUCAGAAGUGUGCUUUUGUCACAAAUUUAUGUCAAAAGAAAGGUGGUGGAUGAACUCGAUGAAUAGAUGAGUGGUGGAUGAACUGUCAAUAAAAAUAUUUACUCAAAUUAGUGACACAACAAUUAAGAACAGAUUCAACCUGAUGUAGUAACCCCUAUGAAUCUUGCUUAAACCACCCCUCAAGAAAAGAAUGUUGCAUUUUGGAAGUUUAUGCAACGCUAUAAAGAAUACCAUAACAAAGUUUGGACAACAUUACUUUGGGAUUCACAUGGCUGAAUUCCCAAUUUUCCUUGUUGAAAUACUGACCGAAGAUGGAUGGCAAGGAUGUAGAAUCAAGCAAAGCUACAAGAUGCAACACAUGAUACUACUACUACAUCCAUGACCGAGACCAAGAAUAAGAAGAAGAAUGGAAAGGAAAAGCGGAAAAAGAAGAGUAAAAACAGAAAGGAGAAGAUGCAGAUUGAAGAUGGUAAGCCCACAACAACUGAAGUUGAGCUAGAAAAUGAACCAG
rnacentral:lncRNA from 1 species